GAUGAACGCUAGCUACAGGCUUAACACAUGCAAGUCGAGGGGAAACGACAUCGAAAGCUUGCUUUUGAUGGGCGUCGACCGGCGCACGGGUGAGUAACGCGUAUCCAACCUGCCCAUCACUUGGGAAUAACCUUGCGAAAGUAAGACUAAUACCCAAUGAUAUCCCACGAAGGCAUCGGAAUGGGAUUAAAGAUUUAUCGGUGAUGGAUGGGGAUGCGUCUGAUUAGCUUGUUGGCGGGGUAACGGCCCACCAAGGCAACGAUCAGUAGGGGUUCGGAGAGGAAGGUCCCCCACAUUGGAACUGAGACACGGGCCAAACUCCUACGGGAGGCAGCAGUGAGGAAUAUUGGUCAAUGGGCGAGAGCCUGAACCAGCCAAGUAGCGUGCAGGAAGACGGCCCUAUGGGUUGUAAACUGCUUUUAUAAGGGAAUAAAGUGGGUCACGUGUGACUUUUUGCAUGUACCUUAUGAAUAAGGACCGGCUAAUUCCGUG
rnacentral:rRNA from 1 species